rnacentral:rRNA from 1 species
GAGUUUGAACCUGGCUCAGGACGAACGCUGGCGGCGUGCCUAAUACAUGCAAGUCGAGCGAGCUUGCCUAGAUGAUUUUAGUGCUUGCACUAAAUGAAACUAGAUACAAGCGAGCGGCGGACGGGUGAGUAACACGUGGGUAACCUGCCCAAGAGACUGGGAUAACACCUGGAAACAGAUGCUAAUACCGGAUAACAACACUAGACGCAUGUCUAGAGUUUGAAAGAUGGUUCUGCUAUCACUCUUGGAUGGACCUGCGGUGCAUUAGCUAGUUGGUAAGGUAACGGCUUACCAAGGCAAUGAUGCAUAGCCGAGUUGAGAGACUGAUCGGCCACAUUGGGACUGAGACACGGCCCAAACUCCUACGGGAGGCAGCAGUAGGGAAUCUUCCACAAUGGACGAAAGUCUGAUGGAGCAACGCCGCGUGAGUGAAGAAGGGUUUCGGCUCGUAAAGCUCUGUUGGUAGUGAAG